UACGAAGGGGGCUAGCGUUGUUCGGAAUCACUGGGCGUAAAGCGCACGCAGGCGGAUUGAUAAGUCAGGGGUGAAAUCCCGGGGCUCAACCUCGGAAUUUGCCUUUGAUACUGUCUGUCUUGAGUCCGGGAGAGGUGAGUGGAAUUCCUAGUGUAGAGGUGAAAUUCGUAGAUAUUAGGAAGAACACCAGUGGCGAAGGCGGCUCACUGGCCCGGUAACUGACGCUCAUGUGCGAAAGCGUGGGGAGCAAAGCAGG
rnacentral:rRNA from 1 species